CACAUCUCACGCGGCGCGGACUCCUCACGGCUCUAGAGGCCGGAACGUCCAAGAUAAGGCACAGAAUCGUCAGUUCCUCUUACAGCUCCCCCUCUGACAGUGCCACAGAUCUUGGAUUUACAAAGAUGCUGCAUAAGCCACAGAACCACCAAAGGGGCUUUUCUAACAGGAAAAAAAGUUGUCUAGUGGUCUCGAUGUUAAGGAAGGAUCAAAUUUACUCAAUGCUUUAAAAUGAUGCUCAAAGACAUCACCAUUUAAAGUAACAGACAAAAAACUCAGCCUCAGAGAAACUAACCUGCCUUAGAAGACCUUGAACCUGGGCCUUUUCACAGUUGUGCAGUCCUUUGACAUCUUUACGUGUUGCCUCAUCUUACUGCCUGUUCCGUUUUUGUUCACUGCCGUCUUAGACAAAGAUAUGGAGCUCCACUAGUUCAUAUUUCCCUGAUCUGAGCAAAAAACAGCUACGUCUCAGAAGUGAGAAACUCACUCUGUAAAAAAGCAGAUAUGAAAUGUUUUCAUUUUUAUAAAUGACUUGCCUGUACCAUUCUCUAUUAUAUAUUAAAUGGCUCCUCUGAUUUGAAGAACUUUCAAGCUGAACCUACAAGCCUGCAGUAUUGCCCAAUAUAAACAGUCAUUUGACAGAAUGAAAAAGUCAUUCCGUCUUCUCCUUAAUCUUUAUGCUUCCUUCUCUGCCCUUUCCAUUUACAACACGGAAUGGACGUGGGACCGUCAGUCUCAGCUCUUCCAUAAUGCAGUACUUCUUCCAAGGCAAUUCCGUGCACUAUAAACUGAGAGGAAAUGAAAAUGUGCACCGGCAGCUGAUUAGCGCCUAUCAGUAUAUUUAGAUCAGCUUAAUUUUUCCCCACAGAAUUCAGAAAUAUUGAAAACGCCCUCGUGUGACCCUCCUAACCUGAUCCCUAAGGAGAGCAGGAGAAACACCUUUCUGUCAAUUCUUCCGGAUUCAUAAGGCAAAGCCCGUUCUAAUUCAAGCUAAUAAAAACAUUGCAAGCAUGUGGGAAGCUAGAAGGCUAGAAAACUCAGUCAAGCAAGUUUGAUUUUUAAAGUUACAGAAAAUUUGAAGAACUUAGUGACCUAAUAAAAUACCUGCCAUCAGGACUGUGUUUAUGUCCUUGAAAAUGCAUUUUGUGAUGACACAGAUUGUUUCUGUGCUUGACUAGCUGUAUCUGAGCUUCCACAUUGCUUUGUCAAGGAAUUUUUUUAUUCCCAAACACUGCUUGGAUCAAUAGCAGCUCAACAUCAUUCACGACUAGGGCAGAAGUGUUCCUUUACUUUUCUAGACUCUAAGACUGAUAUAGAUGAGAAGGUUGGCUUUAACACAUACGAGAUUAAAACAAAACUUUACACCACAAAUUCAGGCGGCACAAUUGCAGCUGGACUCCUGACAUUGCGCGCGCAACGUUUCCCCCUCACAGCCUUUCUGUUGCAUUUCUGUGCUUGUUUUAGAAUUUCACCAUUUUUUCUAAAGUCCCCACACAUAUCCUCUUACUUCAUGACUCGUCUUGAACUGUUUUGUUUUUCUUUUUAAAGGAUGUUGGCCAUCUGAUAUAAGCUAUUGCAAUUUUUUAUCUAUCCAUAUAAAGACCUUGUUCUACAAUUAGCCAUCCUGUUUUCCCCUUCCACUUCAGAAGAAUUUUUCCUCCUUUCUGGAAUUAAACCCAUUCUAAUUCCAGCCCUUUGCACAUCCUCCAGAAUCUUGCUUCAUCAGGUUGUUCCUCACUCAGUCUUUCAAUCUGUCACGCACUCUUCUUUCCUUUUAUUCUGUAUUAGACCCAUGCCCAAUUCCCUAGCCCCAAUCCUUUCCUCAACCUUCAAAUAAUUUAAUGUCACUAUUUUAUCUCUCUUUCCUUGCAUUUAUUCCCAUUAUUACAAAAAUGUAACCAUAUUUCAUUUAAAGAUUAGAAAAUAUAAAAAAUUAAAUGUAUGUUUCAUUUACUGAUAUUGAUCACAAAUGCCUUCCCAGG